AGAGUUUGAUCAUGGCUCAGGACGAACGCUGGCGGCGUGCCUAACACAUGCAAGUCGAACGGGGUGAGGCCCUUCGGGACCUUUACCUAGUGGCGAACGGGUGAGUAACGCGUGAGGAACCUGCCUUUCAGUGGGACAACAGUUGGAAGCGACUGCUAAUACCGCAUGAAGCUUUUGGGAGACAUCUCCUGGAAGCCAAAGCUUAAUGUGCUGAAAGAUGGCCUCGCGUCUGAUUAGCUAGUUGGUGGGGUAACGGCCCACCAAGGCGACGAUCAGUAGCCGGUCUGAGAGGAUGAACGGCCACAUUGGGACUGAGAUACGGCCCAGACUCCUACGGGAGGCAGCAGUGGGGAAUAUUGGGCAAUGGGCGAAAGCCUGACCCAGCAACGCCGCGUGAAGGAAGAAGGCCUUCGGGUUGUAAACUUCUUUUAUCAGGGACGAAGGACGUGACGGUACCUGGAGAAAAAGCAACGGCUAACUACGUGCCAGCAGCCGCGGUAAUACGUAGGUUGCAAGCGUUGUCCGGAUUUACUGGGUGUAAAGGGCGUGUAGGCGGAGAUGCAAGUUAGGAGUGAAAUCUAUGGGCUCAACCCAUAAACUGCUUCUAAAACUGUAUCCCUUGAGUAUCGGAGAGGCAAGCGGAAUUCUUAGUGUAGCGGUGAAAUGCGUAGAUAUUAGGAGGAACACCAGUGGCGAAGGCGGCUUGCUGGACGACAACUGACGCUGAGGCGCGAAAGCGUGGGGAGCAAACAGGAUUAGAUACCCUGGUAGUCCACGCUGUAAACGAUGAAUACUAGGUGUGGGGGGACUGACCCCCUCCGUGCCGCAGUUAACACAAUAAGUAUUCCACCUGGGGAGUACGACCGCAAGGUUGAAACUCAAAGGAAUUGACGGGGGCCCGCACAAGCAGUGGAUUAUGUGGUUUAAUUCGACGCAACGCGAAGAACCUUACCAGGACUUGACAUCCAACUAACGAAGUAGAGAUACAUCAGGUGCCCUUCGGGGAAAGUUGAGACAGGUGGUGCAUGGUUGUCGUCAGCUCGUGUCGUGAGAUGUUGGGUUAAGUCCCGCAACGAGCGCAACCCCUAUUGUUAGUUGCUACGAAAGAGCACUCUAGCGAGACUGCCGUUGACAAAACGGAGGAAGGCGGGGACGACGUCAAAUCAUCAUGCCCCUUAUGUCCUGGGCUACACACGUAAUACAAUGGUGGCCAACAGAGGGAAGCGAAGCCGUGAGGCAGAGCAAAUCCCUAAAAGCCAUCUCAGUUCGGAUUGCAGGCUGCAACUCGCCUGCAUGAAGCUGGAAUUGCUAGUAAUCGCGGAUCAGCAUGCCGCGGUGAAUACGUUCCCGGGCCUUGUACACACCGCCCGUCACACCAUGAGAGUCGGGAACACCCGAAGUCCGUAGUCUAACCGCAAGGGGGGCGCGGCCGAAGGUGGGUCCGGUAAUUGGGGUGAAGUCGUAACAAGGUA
rnacentral:rRNA from 1 species